UACAGAGGGUGCAAGCGUUAAUCGGAAUUACUGGGCGUAAAGCGCGCGUAGGUGGUUCGUUAAGUUGGAUGUGAAAUCCCCGGGCUCAACCUGGGAACUGCAUUCAAAACUGUCGAGCUAGAGUAUGGUAGAGGGUGGUGGAAUUUCCUGUGUAGCGGUGAAAUGCGUAGAUAUAGGAAGGAACACCAGUGGCGAAGGCGACCACCUGGACUGAUACUGACACUGAGGUGCGAAAGCGUGGGGAGCAAACAGGA
rnacentral:rRNA from 1 species